AGCAGUUUGCCACUUCAGUCUUUGCAUAGAGAUCGAUAUCCCAGAUUGACUCAGACCAAACUCUGAUCCCUCAUAUUUUUACUAUUUUUCAGAUGCUCACUAAUCAGUCGGUACGUAUUGAACAGCUUGAGGGAUGUAUUCUGAGAUUGAUAGGUAGAGUUUUGGAUUUACAGGGAUAUGUAUUAGCUUUAGCCCAUCCUCAGCCGCAUGAGGACAUCACAGAGG
rnacentral:lncRNA from 1 species